rnacentral:lncRNA from 1 species
CAGAGGCUAAGGUGGAAUCACCUUGGGUAGCUGUAUUUCCAAGUCUGGAAGGUCACCAACAGGGCCAGUGGCCUCUCCUGUGCCCUCCUGCACUGCCCUCACUCACCCUGAUGCCUCAGCUCUAGAGCUGUGGCCCAGCUCUUCUCUGUGGUUGGAAGUUAGCUCUCCUCAUCCUCCUUCUCCACCCACGCCUGCCCAAAGCUGCUGCUUAGAUGCUUGUGUUUCUGUGUCAUAUCAUUGGUGGUUUAAUAUUCAAGAGAUGGCAUUAAAUAAGUGUGAUCAAUUAUGCAAUGUGUUUGGAAACAAUCUGGCUAGUCCCAAAGCACUUGGGUGAGAAGCUAAACUUUCGCGAGGCAAAGGUCUGGGAGAUCUUGGAGGGUUGGGAAGAGAGGCCCACAGCUGGUCUGCCUGUCUGUGCCUUCCCUGACUCAGGUCUGGGGUUAUUCAUCUUUCUCCAAACAGGAUGAGCAGGGGAGUAGGAAGCCCAUGGGUUUGCACAGCCAGAAUCUCCAAGUUGCAUCCUGGCUAUGAAGUUGCUUCUCACUGGUUCUCAGUCUUCUCAUUUCUGAAGACAGCUAAAAAUGCCCACCCGGAUUCAGGUGAGAUGACUCAGCUCUAAUUUGGAGAACAUUUUUCAGGAAGGGAAGUUGAAACUAAUAACGAGAAAUGAGGAGCACAAGCUCAGGUUCCUGACAUGGUGGGAUGGAGGGGCACAGGGCAUGGAUGGACUCCAAGGUUCGUGCAUAACCACAACACCAGCUGUGUGAGCAAGGUGGUAAUCAAAGCCCAGAGAAGGGGCUUCAGGAAUUUAGAGGGAGGUGUGGCUAAUCCCAUCAAUGGUGCAGGGAAGUCUCACAGAGCUUCCAUGUGUGCUGGCUUUGCAUGGCUGAAUGGCAUUUUGACCCCAGAGAGAGGGCUGCCCCAUUUAUCCACCAUAGAAUAGGCAACUACCAUGUCUAUGAAUUCAGUAAGUAUUUACUGAUCACCUAUGUUCCAGCUACUCCACUAAGCACCUCACAUGGAUUAUCUUUGUUGACUUUUGAAAGAUACCUCUGUUGCUUCCAUUUUACAGAUGAGGAAACUGAGGCUCAGAGAGGCUGCUCAAGUUGUAGAAUUAGUAUUCUGAAUCCAGGCCUGAGGCUGGCUCUCAAGAUCUCAAUAACCACUGAACAUACUGCUGCCUUCCAGCUGUCAGCCACUGCCCUCUAUCUGAGCUCUUGGCACAAAUCACAGCAAGCCACCUGGCUAUCCCACCUCUCAGGCUCCAUGUGCUUGAUGGUAGAAGGAACCAGGACCAGCCACUCUCAAAGUUAACACAGUGUGAUGCCAAAGUCGGGUGUGCAGCAUUGGACCAUGAACAGGACUUACUCAGCCCGGAUCAGUUUUACACACAAUGAGGUGUACACAGCUAUGUAAAUCAUCACCACGAUCAAGAUAUGAAACUAUUCCUCCACCACAAGGAUUUCUCGGCCCCCCUCAUUUUGGAAGCUGUAAGUUGUUUUCUAUCAUAUGCAAUAUUGUUCUUUGAAUAAUAUUAUAUAAAUGGAAUCAGGUAAUAUGCAACCUCUUAGGGGAUUUUUUUUUCCUUUUAAGUCAGUGUAAGUCUCUGAAGACUUAUCCACACAGUUGUACACGUGAGCAUUUCAUUUCUUUUGAUCACUGAGUGGUGUCCCAUGCACAGGUGUGCUACAAUUUGUUUGAACAUUUGUUCACAGAGCAGGUAUGCAGCACACACCUGUUACCCUGGGAAUCUAAGAGGCGAAGGCAGAAGGGUGGUAUGUUUGAGUCCAGCCUGGGCAACUUAGUGAGACCUUGUCUUAAAAUGAAAAUUUAUUUAUCAGCGCUGGGGAUGUAGCUCAGUCUGAAGGCCCUGGAUUCAGUCUUCAAUAACACACACACACACACACACACACACACACACACAUGUGGGUGUGCAAAAGUGCUUGUGCACACACACAAAAUGGCUACCCUGUUUUCCAGAAUGGAGGUACCAUUUUACAUUCCUACCAGCAACGUAUGUGAGUAAUCUAAUCUUUCCACAUCUUUGUAACUAUGUGGGGUCAUCAUUGUUUUCUGUCUUAGUCCUCCUGAAGGAUGUGUGUGGUCCUCACACCAUGGUUCUCAUUUAUAUUUUCCUAAUGGCGAAAGAUGUUGAACAUCUUUUCUUAUGCUUACUUGCCAUAUGUAAAUCCUCUUUAGAGAAAUGCCUCUUCAUGUCUUUUGCUCAUUUUCUAAUUGAAUUGUUUGAUUUCUUUCUGGUUGAAUUCUGAUAGUUCUUAUAUGCCAGAUGCCAGCCCUGUGUUAGAUUUUAUAGUUUGCAAAUAUUUUCUUUCAGUCUAUAGCUUUCCUUUUCAUUCUCUUAAGAAUUCUUUUUUUUUGGACUGAGGAUAUAGCUCCACUGCCUGCCUCACAAGUGAAAGGUCCUGAGUUCAAUCCCCAGUACCAAAACAAAAAAAUUAGAAUUCUCCUUUUAAAUGUGGGGGUGGACCACAAGGUUUUAAUUUUGUGAAGUUCAACUUAUCUUUAAAAUAUUUGGUUUGCUUUUAGGGAUCACACUUUUCCUGUCAAGCCUAAGAACUCUGUGUUUAAGCCCAGAACCUGAUGAUUUUACUCUUGCUUUUCCUUUUUCCAGAAGCCUUAUAGUUUUACAUUUUGCAUUUAAGCCCCUCGUUCUUGCUGAGUUAGUGUUAUGUAAGGUGUGAGACUUAGAUCCAGCUUGAAGUUAUUAAUAUCAUUGUCUGUCUACGGAGGUCCCGUCAGCCUAGCACCACCCGUUGAACUGCAUCUUGGCAUAUUUGUGUGGCUCUGUUUCUGGUCAUCUCCUUCACAGCACAGACUUACAUGUCAUCACUCCAUCACCGCCACACAAUCUUGAUUUCUAUAUAAUGAAUCUCACCAUCUGAUAGACUGAUUAUUCACUUUAUUUUUUCAAAGUUACUUUAGCAAUCCUACUCUUUUGACUUAGCAUACACAUUUCAGAAUAAUCCUUCCUACAAAUACAGAUAUUUUGGUGAUAUUUUGAUAGGAAGUGAUAAAACUGACAUCUUUAUUGUGCUGAGUCUUCCACUCAUGAAUAGAGUACUAUGUCUCUUCAUUUAUUUAGCUAUCUGACUUCUUUCGUUAGUGUUUUAUCAGUUCUUAGUACUAAGGAUUGAAACCAGGCCCUUGGCACCGCACUGUGUCCUCAGCCCUUUCUUAUUUUGAGAUAAGGGUCUUACUAGGUAGCUAAGUUGCCCGGACAGGGCUCAAACUUGUGACUUCCCUGACUCUGCCUCCAGGACUGCUGGAAUUACA